AGAGUAGGCGCAGGUGGUUGCGGACUCGUUCAUACCGAGUCUGAGGAAAGUCCGGACUCCCGAAAGACCAAACUUGCUGGGUAACGCCCAGUGCGGGCGACCGUGAGGAUAGUGCCACAGAAAGAUACCGCCAACCGAUUUUGGAUUUUAGAUUUUAGAUUCAAAAUUGCUUGGUAAGGGUGCAAAGGUGCGGUAAGAGCGCACCAGCAGCGUCGAGAGUCGCUGGCUCGGUAAACCCCGGUUGGGAGCAAGGUAGGAACCACGGUUGGUCUUUUCCCGGUUCCGCUAAUUUAACCGCUUGAGGCAUCUGGUAACAGGUGUCCCAGAUAGAUAACCGCCCUCUUGGCGGCACAGCUGCUAGGUAGAACAGAACCCGGCUUAUGUCCGACUCUCUCC
rnacentral:RNase_P_RNA from 1 species